rnacentral:rRNA from 1 species
GACGAAGGAUCCGAGCGUUAUCCGGAUUCAUUGGGUUUAAAGGGUGCGUAGGCGGCGCGGUAAGUCGGGUGUGAAAUCUCGGAGCUUAACUCCGAAACUGCAUUCGAUACUGCCGUGCUUGAGGACUGGAGAGGAGACUGGAAUUUACGGUGUAGCGGUGAAAUGCGUAGAUAUCGUAAGGAAGACCAGUGGCGAAGGCGGGUCUCUGGACAGUUCCUGACGCUGAGGCACGAAGGUCAGGGGAGCAAACGGG